AGAUUACAUUAGUCAGCUCAUUUCCGAAUGUCAUAAUGCGUACGACUAUUACGGUGAAUCCGACGCGGAGACAGGCCUUGAUGUCGAAUCAUUAGCUGCACCUGAUUCUGGGGAGUCGCAAUCGUCGGUCAUCAUGAGUGAGGUGACAGAAGUUGAGGGGAAAAAGAAUGUCCAAGAUAUUGCUAGUGCA